rnacentral:rRNA from 1 species
UACGUAGGGACCGAGCGUUGUCCGGAUUCAUUGGGCGUAAAGAGCUCGUAGGCGGCCACUCAAGUCGAAUGUGAAACCUCGAGGCUUAACCUCGAGCCUGCAUUCGAUACUGGGCGGCUAGAGUCUGGUAGGGGGAUCUGGAAUUCCUGGUGUAGCGGUGGAAUGCGCAGAUAUCAGGAGGAACACCGGUGGCGAAGGCGGGAGCCUGGGCCAGUACUGACGCUGAGGAGCGAAAGCGUGGGGAGCAAACAGG